CCUCGAAAAAGGCACACUUAUUGAAAGGUGAGGUCGCAAAGCUCUAAAUCUAAGGUAUGGUAUUUGACUAUUAAUAAUAUCAUGCUAUGAUCGUUAAGCUACCGAA
rnacentral:ncRNA from 1 species